CCUUUUGUAUAAUGGGUCAGCGACUUAUAUUCUGUAGCAAGGUUAACCGAAUAGGGGAGCCGAAGGGAAACCGAGUCUUAACUGGGCGUUAAGUUGCAGGGUAUAGACCCGAAACCCGGUGAUCUAGCCAUGGGCAGGUUGAAGGUUGGGUAACACUAACUGGAGGACCGAACCGACUAAUGUUGAAAAAUUAGCGGAUGACUUGUGGCUGGGGGUGAAAGGCCAAUCAAACCGGGAGAUAGCUGGUUCUCCCCGAAAGCUAUUUAGGUAGCGCCUCGUGAAUUCAUCUCCGGGGGUAGAGCACUGUUUCGGCAAGGGGGUCAUCCCGACUUACCAACCCGAUGCAAACUGCGAAUACCGGAGAAUGUUAUCACGGGAGACACACGGCGGGUGCUAACGUCCGUCGUGAAGAGGGAAACAACCCAGACCGCCAGCUAAGGUCCCAAAGUCAUGGUUAAGUGGGAAACGAUGUGGGAAGGCCCAGACAGCCAGGAUGUUGGCUUAGAAGCAGCCAUCAUUUAAAGAAAGCGUAAUAGCUCACUGGUCGAGUCGGCCUGCGCGGAAGAUGUAACGGGGCUAAACCAUGCACCGAAGCUGCGGCAGCGACGCUGAUGCGUUGUUGGGUAGGGGAGCGUUCUGUAAGCCUGCGAAGGUGUGCUGUGAGGCAUGCUGGAGGUAUCAGAAGUGCGAAUGCUGACAUAAGUAACGAUAAAGCGGGUGAAAAGCCCGCUCGCCGGAAGACCAAGGGUUCCUGUCCAACGUUAAUCGGGGCAGGGUGAGUCGACCCCUAAGGCGAGGCCGAAAGGCGUAGUCGAUGGGAAACAGGUUAAUAUUCCUGUACUUGGUGUUACUGCGAAGGGGGGACGGAGAAGGCUAUGUUGGCCGGGCGACGGUUGUCCCGGUUUAAGCGUGUAGGCUGGUUUUCCAGGCAAAUCCGGAAAAUCAAGGCUGAGGCGUGAUGACGAGGCACUACGGUGCUGAAGCAACAAAUGCCCUGCUUCCAGGAAAAGCCUCUAAGCAUCAGGUAACAUCAAAUCGUACCCCAAACCGACACAGGUGGUCAGGUAGAGAAUACCAAGGCGCUUGAGAGAACUCGGGUGAAGGAACUAGGCAAAAUGGUGCCGUAACUUCGGGAGAAGGCACGCUGAUAUGUAGGUGAAGUCCCUUGCGGAUGGAGCUGAAAUCAGUCGAAGAUACCAGCUGGCUGCAACUGUUUAUUAAAAACACAGCACUGUGCAAACACGAAAGUGGACGUAUACGGUGUGACGCCUGCCCGGUGCCGGAAGGUUAAUUGAUGGGGUCAGCGCAA
rnacentral:rRNA from 1 species